rnacentral:lncRNA from 1 species
UCCAGGCUUCAGAACAAGUUCUUUCAGUCCAGCUGUAUUUGUUGGGCAGGUGCCUGUUGAUGCUGUUCAUCAGAUGAUGACAGAGUUUGCUGCUGCUGUAGCUUCUGCUGUCUCCUACUCCCAGCUGGGUUAAGUGAAGGGAAUAGCGGCACUGAAAGCAUGGCAAUUAUUCUCUAAAUAAAACAUGGCUCUGGGUGGAGAAGAGAAGUAUCAGGCUGGGUUGGCUUAAACCGAGAUUUUUUUGAAGGACACUUCUGUAAACUUCAUCUUGUCCUGCACAGGCACACGUCUGGCUACUCAUUUCCAUCCUUGUCCCUAUUCUUCUGGGAAAGAUGGCACUCACCUUUCUUGAGGGGGUUCGCUUCUCUCUGAAAAUGGAGGAAAAUGACUCAGAACCGAUCUAUGCCUUCCCCUCCCAGAAGCUGCUUUUUCCCUUUCUCCAGUAAAUGGUGCCUGAUAAUGUGGCUGUCAAGUGACUGAACCUGCUCUAAUAAGAGCUGUACAGCACAUUAAAUUGCAGAAGCCUAUGUGUUAGUUAGACAAAUGGUGUGGUUCCUGGAAGAGUUGAUCAGAGCCCUGCACUUCUCCAGACACAGAGAUAGAGACAGACUAAAGAAAACAUAGAUCUCCUCCAGCCAUAGUUUUGGCAAUAUCAAAAUUGCCCUCAGUACUUGAGGCAAGUGUACAGAAAAAUGAGCACUGUAAAUAUCUGGUUCCAUACUUCUAAAGCAAAGGUCAUCUUUUUGAAUUAAUAAAUGGAAUUAAUUUAAUGUUUACAGGUGGGGAGAAACACUAUAGGAAUUAUUCUUUCCCCACCCAAACCUCUUCAAAAUAGAUGAAAAACAUUCAACCAGCAUGAGGUUGUGCAACCACUGCAGUGAGUGGCCCCCAGGAAAACAGUGAAAUUGUGCAAGCAGGUGCUGACCUGCCCAAAAGGAUCAGAUUCAUCUUUUACAUUGCUGAGUGCACAUGUCCACAUCCCCUCUUCAAACAAGGACAUUGUAAUCCAGCUGUCAUUUUGUUUGUUCUCUCCACAGAUUUUUGAUUAUUUGGUCCUGAGAAUAUCUGACACUCACAAGAAGGUCAAGCAGAAGAGCAAAGGGAAGAGCCAGUGCUUGUGGAAUGGGUUUAUCCCAGGAGCCCUGAAGUCGUCCAGCGCUACGCCCUGCCCGUGCUCUGGUCCUUCCUGGGGAACAAGGCGCUGCCUGUGCGAAGCGCCAGUGUCCGCACUGUGGUGACCAAGCUUGCCUCUGCCCUCUACGAGGUGAUGGGCACCAAGCUGAGGAAGUGUGCUGCCAGCCAGCCUCCACAUGUGCAGGAAAACCUCUCCAACAUCUUGGGCUGGUGAGGGACUGAUGCUCUCCAGGAAGCUGACGAAGAG